GAAGUCGCUGAGCCUAACCGCAAGGAGGCAGGCGCCGAGGGUGGGAUUGGUAACUGGAGGCG
rnacentral:rRNA from 1 species